UACGUAGGGGGCGAGCGUUAUCCGGAAUCAUUGGGCGUAAAGGGUGCGUAGGCUGCCCUAUAGGUCAGAGGUCAAAGGCUACGGCUCAACCGUAGUAAGCCUUUGAAACUGUAGGGCUUGAGUGCAGGAGAGGAGAGUGGAAUUCCUAGUGUAGCGGUGAAAUGCGUAGAUAUUAGGAGGAACACCAGUGGCGAAGGCGACUCUCUGGACUGUAACUGACGCUGAGGCACGAAAGCGUGGGGAGCAAACAGG
rnacentral:rRNA from 1 species